rnacentral:rRNA from 1 species
AUGGACGCACGCGCCGGCACCCCGCUCACCCCGUCCUAUAGCCGCGACCCCCCCGCCCCCGCCGCCGCCGCCACAAACCCUAGCCCGGGUGGCGUUGGCCUCGCCUCCGCCGGAGCUCCUCCGACGAGCGGCCUUGCGAGCGGCCUCUUCAUGCCGCCGCGGAUGACCUCGGCGGCGGGUGGCGUCGCGCCGGCACCGGCCCGAGCCGCCGCCGCCUCCUCCUCAAAGCUCCCCAAUGCGGCGCGGCCAAAAAAGGGCAAGACAUCAGCGAAGGAAAACAAGGCGGCGAACGGCUCUGGCACCUCCAAGGCGAAGAGGAAGGAGCUUGCGGGGCGUGCGACGGGCGCGGCGGCUGCCGAAGCGUCGGCAAGCUCACUCGUUGAGCCGGCGGCCGGCGCGCACAGCAUGUUCGACGAAAUGCCUCCAAGUCUCAAUGAUGAUGCAUACAUGUCAACGAUGGGUGUUGGCUCCAACAAUUCGCAUUGGUCUCAAACCAAUGACAUGCAUUUUCAAGACCAUGAGUUCGAGGUGGACGAGGAGGGUGAGGGCAUUGUCGACGCACCGAAAGGAAGAGCGGGCAAUUACACCAACACCGAUGACAUCUUACUAUGCAAUACUUGGUUGCAAGUGUCGAGGGAUCCAUCCGUUGGAGGUGAUCAAAGUAGAGAUGCUUAUUGGAACCGGAUGAAGGAACACUUUGAUGCUCGCAACGUGAGUGGAAUUGACUGCUCCAACCGAUCACUUAGGUCCCGGUGGUCGACAAUCAACUCAGAUUGUCAAAGGUGGGCGGCUUGUCAAAAGGCGGUUGACAAGUUGAACCCAAGUGGCACAAAUGAGGACGAUAGAUACAACAUUGCGCAAAACUUGUUCAAAGAAGAGGAGAGGAAAACCAAGAAGGGGAAGAUCAAGAAAGGAAGGGUCUUUACUUUGCCUCAUUGGAGGCAUGGGUGGCAUGGGUGGCAUGGGUGGCAUGGAAGUUUUGCUUCUCUCAUGGGAGGCAUGGGUGCACCUCCGGCCGCCAUGGGCGGAAUGUCUUUCGAUGAGCCUCCUCGCACACAUUCCCAUGAAGAUGCCGUUGAAGAUCUUGCCAACACCAUCGGAGCUUCACGUGAUGCGGUGCGCGAUGAGGAGAGGGAGGAAGAUUCAUCUUCGGAGGCGGAAGAAUCGUCUUCCGAAGAUGAGGACGAGGACGAAGACGAGGAGGAGGACGAGGAAUGA